CUACGAGAAAUUCAACAUGGUUUGAAAGUAGUACGUAGGGUAAGGCAGGUGGUAAAAUUAAUUAAGAUUCCUCUUUCUUUUUUCCCAGCGUCUCAACCACUUCACCAUUGAGUUUAUUAUACAUACAUUUGAUCUUUUAUACUAAUCAUGCAGUUUAUAUUCAUCCACAAAUCGUUAUCACUAUGAUAUGCCGACAAAUUUAAUAUUUAGUUUGACUAUUGAGUCACUGACUAAAAAGGUUUGUUACCGAUUGGGCGUAACGAAUUUGUUGUUUUUAUUUUUAUUUUUUAAUAUUGAAAUAAAAGAUUUUACUUUUCAUUCGUGUUGGUUCCAAAUGUUGAGUAAAUAUGUUUGAGAAAAAUAAAAUUACAUUUUUUCCUCAUAUACUGAUGACACUUAAUUGUUGAAUUCCUUAACAUUUAGAAAAGAAAAGCAAUGCUCUUGAGUUUGGGGACAUAAAGGUAGCUAGCACCUCCUUUAACACACAAAUGCAUGAACAUUGAUUUUGAGGGACUUUGAUGCGGACAUCACAUUUGCUGAUGUACUUCCUGAUGGACUUGCUGAACGACUUUCUGAACGACUUGCUGAAGGACAUUCUGAACUACUUCCUGACGAGGUAAACAAAGAAAGCGAAUCAUUCAUCCAACUUGGAUCAUUCAAAUUAGGUAUUUCAAAUCCUCCAAAUGAAGAAGAAGCUUACAAAACAUCUUUGGUCGAAAUAUCAAAAGGAAGCAAAGAGAAAUCCAAUAGAAAGAAACUUUCCUUAUUCGGCUUAAUCAAAUUAGCAUUGAUUGCCAAGGAGGAUUGCUUGCUAGAAAUCCUCGAUCCACUAUUUAAUCCUGAGAAUGCACCUAGACGUCCUCAAGUCUCCCAAGACGUAAAGCUCAAUCAAUGCCGACGAUUUGUCCCUCAUCAUCACCACCAAUCAAGCAUUCUCCAUUAUGUUGAUUGAUUUGUAUUUAAUUUUGAAUAUUUUAUUUUAAUGUAGAUUAGACCAUGUAAGAGCUAUAAAAAGGCUCAUUUGUUUCAUUGUAAAGACACCACGAAAUUUGAAAGUAAUAUAAAGAGUUUUCUCUAAA